rnacentral:misc_RNA from 1 species
AACGCACAUUGCGCCCUUUGGCAUUCCGAAGGGCAUGCCUGUUCGAGCGUCAUUAUCCUCUCUCAAACCUCGCGUUUGGUGUUGGACCGCGUUGGACCGCUCGCGGCCAACUGGUCUCAAAGACAAUGACGGCGUCCGUGGGACCCUCUUCGCAUCGAGCUUUUCGAAGCACGCGUCGAGUUUCAAGGCCCCAGGGACCCGGUCGAGCCUCCUUUAUUUUAUCAGGUUGACCUCGGAUCAGGUAGGAAUACCCGCUGAACUUAA